UACUGCCCCUGCCAACCCCAGAUCCUGAUUUUCCAGACCAGUCCAACAGCCAUCAAUAGAGACCAGCCUGGCCACAAUGACUCCAAGAUGGUGGAUUGGGCCAUGAGGUAGAGAUCAAAGGAUCACUGAAGGAGGUACUAAAAGCAAUGAAUGGAUACCAUUGGAGAUUGAGAGAUGCCAGCUUCCUGUUCAACCAACAACGAAGAGCCACGGAACCCCACUGACAGCAUGGGGACCAACGAAGUUUCACUCACACAACAUCUCUGGGAGAGCCAACGGGAGCUUAUGCAAAUAAAAAGAUGUGCUAAAACCCCA